UCGUGUGACCGGUAUAGCGCAAAUAACUGGGCUUAUUUAAGUGCUAGAGGAGAAUUUUGACCUACUGCAGAUGGGGAACGGUGGUGUUAUAAUAUAUAGGUCUGGAGGAGUGCAGAGCUCCUCUUGCCAUUUUAUCCUCCAGUCUUACGGUUUUGAGGCCGAUGCUGCGGGUGGCUCGGCUCAUCCCUCGGUGACUCUCAUCACACCGCAACCUAAGAGUGCUGCUCCUCCGUCCUUUAUCUUGUUUUUUAGGGAGGAACAGUUGAGAUUAAAGACCUCAGGAGCACGGGCAGAGGGAGGCACCUUCUGAAGUCUUCCACACAAAGCUUUUCUGGAAACUGUGAUGACAGCUACUGGUGGGAAAAAAUCACCAGCAACCACAGUCAUUUCCCUGCCGCCAGGUUUCUCUGUGGUUUUGGAGCCUGUCCUAGAACUAGCUCUUGUAGACCAAGCUGCCCUCAAGCCACAGAGAUCCACCUCUGCCUCCCGAGUGCUGGGAUUAAAGGAGUACGCCACCAUCGCCCGGCUACA